UACGUAGGGGGCAAGCGUUGUUCGGAAUUACUGGGCGUAAAGGGCUCGUAGGUGGCCAACUAAGUCAGACGUGAAAUCCCUCGGCUUAACCGGGGAACUGCGUCUGAUACUGGAUGGCUUGAGUUCGGGAGAGGGAUGCGGAAUUCCAGGUGUAGCGGUGAAAUGCGUAGAUAUCUGGAGGAACACCGGUGGCGAAGGCGGCAUCCUGGACCGACACUGACGCUGAGGCGCGAAAGCUAGGGGAGCAAACGGG
rnacentral:rRNA from 1 species